rnacentral:rRNA from 1 species
UACGUAGGUGGCAAGCGUUGUCCGGAUUUACUGGGCGUAAAGAGCGCGCAGGCGGCCGUUCAAGUCGCGUGUGAAAGCCCCCGGCUCAACUGGGGAGGGUCACGCGAUACUGAUCGACUCGAAGGCAGGAGAGGGUGUGGAAUUCCCGGUGUAGUGGUGAAAUGCGUAGAUAUCGGGAGGAACACCAGUGGCGAAGGCGACUACCUGGCCUGUUUCUUGACGCUGAGGCGCGAAAGCUAGGGGAGCAAACGGG